rnacentral:rRNA from 1 species
GUAAAUAAUUAAGGGCGUAUGGUGGAUGCCUAGGCUCUCAGAGGCGAAGAAGGACGUGAUAAGCUGCGAAAAGCUCCGUUUAGGUGCAAAUAACCUUUGAUGCGGAGAUCUCCGAAUGGGAUAACCCAAUAUGUUGAAGACAUAUUAUACCGUAAGGUAGGCAAACGCAGGGAACUGAAACAUCUAAGUACCUGCAGGAGAAGAAAACAAACGUGAUUCCCCCAGUAGCGGCGAGCGACCGGGGAAAAGCCCAAACCGUUAUUGUUUCGGCAGUAGCGGGGUAGUAGGACUGCGACAUUGAUGAAAUAAAUGAAAUGGAACACCUUGGAAAAUGUGAUCACAGAGGGUGAUAAUCCCGUACAUGCAAGUUUAUGAAUCAUAGCAGACUCCUGAGUAAGUCGGGACACGUGUAAUCCUGACCGAAUCCGCCGGGACCAUCCGGCAAGGCUAAAUACUCCUGAGAGACCGAUAGUGAACCAGUACCGUGAGGGAAAGGUGAAAAGCACUUCGAACAGAAGAGUGAAAUAGUCCCUGAACCCAUACGCCUACAAGCAGUCGGAGCCGCUUCGUGCGGUGACGGCGUGCCUUUUGCAUAAUGAGCCUACGAGUUACUCAUCACCAGCGAGGUUAAGUACUUCAGGUACGUAAGCCGAAGCGAAAGCGAGUCUGAAUAGGGCGUCAAGUUGGUGGUGGUAGACGCGAAACCUUAGUGAUCUACCCAUGGGCAGGGUGAAGGUUUGGUAACACAAACUGGAGGCCCGAACCGGUAAACGUUGAAAAGUUUUCGGAUGACCUGUGGGUAGGGGUGAAAGGCCAAUCAAACUGGGAAAUAGCUCGUACUCUCCGAAAUGCAUUUAGGUGCAGCCUCUGUUGUUUUGUUCUAGAGGUAGAGCUACUGAUUGGAUGCGAGGGCUUCACCGCCUAUCAAAUCCGGCCAAACUCCGAAUGCUAGAACAUGAAGACAGGGAGUGAGCCAGCGGGUGCUAAGGUCCGUUGACGAAAGAGGGAGAACUCAGACCAUCAGCUAAGGUCCCCAAUUAUAUGCUAAGUUGGAAUUAAAACGGGGUGGGACUGCUUAGACAGCUAGGAUGUUGGCUUGGAAGCAGCCAUUCAUUUAAAGAGUGCGUAACAGCUCACUAGUCGAGCGGUCCUGCAUGGAUAAUACGCGGGCAUAAGCAUAUAACCGAAGCUAUGGGAUUGUAGAUGAUACAAUCGGUAGGAGAGCAUUCCAUUCAGCAUAGAAGCAGUAUCGUGAGGUAUUGUGGAGCGGAUGGAAAAGCAAAUGUAGGCAUAAGUAACGAUAAUGCGGGUGAGAACCCCGCACGCCGAAAGAUCAAGGAUUCCCCGGCAAUGUCAAUCAUCCGGGGGUAAGUCGGAUCCUAAGGGUAAGCCGAGUGGCGAUCCCGAUGGCAAACAGGUUAAUAUUCCUGUACUGAUCAUAACUGCGAUGCAGCGACGCAGAGGUGACACUGCUGCGUACUGACGGAAUAGUACGUUGAAACCCGUAUUCUUUGAUACCGGUAGUGAAGCACGCCGGUAGAGAUGAAAGGUGAUAGUACCGCAAUGCUUCGGUUGCGCGGAUAAUGCAGGUAAGCUGACUGCCAAGAAAACCUGCUAAGCUUCAGGUAAUGAUCAUCCGUACUGUAAACGGACACACGUGAUCAGGUAGAAAAUACUAAGGCGCUCGAGAGAUUCAUGGUUAAGGAACUAGGCAAAAUGGUCCUGUAACUUCGGGAUAAAGGACGCUCUUGUGAAAGAGCCGCAGAUAAUAGGCCCAGGCGACUGUUUACCAAAAACACAUGGCUAUGCUAAUUCGCAAGAAGAUGUAUAUGGCCUGACACCUGCCCGGUGCCGGAAGGUUAAGAGGAGAGCUCAGAGGUAACUCGAAGGUUUGAAUUGAAGCCCCGGUAAACGGCGGCCGUAACUAUAACGGUCCUAAGGUAGCGAAAUUCCUUGUCGGGUAAGUUC